rnacentral:rRNA from 1 species
UUUUUCCUACGGGAGGCAGCAGUUAGGAAUAUUCGUCAAUGGGGGAAACCCUGAACGAGCAAUGCCGCGUGAGUGAUGAAGGCCCUAUGGGUUGUAAAACUCUGUUGUUGAGAAAGAAUUGUAAGAUUAGGAAAUGAGUCUUACUUGACGGUACUCUUCAAGAAAGCCACGGCUAACUACGUGCCAGCAGCCGCGGUAAUACGUAGGUGGCGAGCGUUAUCCGGAAUGAUUGGGCGUAAAGGGUGCGUAGGCGGCCUGCUAAGUCUGGAGUGAAAGGUACCGGCUCAACCGGUACAGGCUCUGGA